CCGCGCUUAAGGAGGACGCGGUCAGAGAGCGGUGGGCUGCUAGGUCGCUUGUCCAGGGAGACUGCUUUCCCGAGCUUCAGCACCUCCGACCACGCUUCUUCGUGAGCUCGCCGUCCCCGAGGAGACCGGUGGUGGAUAUUUCACCCAAAGCAUUUCUUUAUUGAGCACUGAGGAGGAUCCUUUUCCUUGUAAAAACGACAGUUUCGUGGCAACGGUAGCUGGAGUGAAUGGAACACCUGCUAUGUGCUUGCGGAGCACUCCUACCCACUUUACGUAGAUUACUAUAUUACACCCUUGCAAUAACUGUAUGAGGUAUUAUUAUUCCCAUUUUACAGAUUUGGGAACCGAGGAGGCUCACGCGUGUGUAACUUGCCCAAGGUUAUCCAGCUGGCAGCAGCUGGGAUUAGCUUGCGGUCAGCCUCCAGCCGCGUUGGGGUCAACUGCUGCAACAGGGCAAGAAGAUACCGAGUCCUGAAUUCAUUGACCAAACUGAGCCAUAGUUAUUUGCCGCUCUGUAUAACUUUCCCACUAGACUGUGAGAUUAAAUUCGGUAAAAUUGAAGCACGACAUCAUACAGAAGAGUGCAGAAAUCGUAAAUGUACAUUUCAGUGAAUUAUUAACAUGUGGACACGCCCGUAACCAUCACUGAGUUUAAGAAUCAGAGCAUGACCAGCUCCCUGGAAGCCUCCCACCCCUCUCGUUCACUGCCCUAUUCCUCCUCCGAGGUGACCACUAUCCUGCAUUCUACCGGUCACCACAGAAAAUAAUCCAACAAAUGACCAAAAUCACAACCCACCACAUGUGAAAAACAUCUUCCAAACGCUCCAAAGAUCUUUAGUACGUGGGCCUCUCACUCUUGUGGCCUCUCCCG